rnacentral:rRNA from 1 species
GAUGAACGCUGGCGGCGUGCUUAACACAUGCAAGUCGAACGAAACAUCUGUGACAGAUUUUUUCGGAAUGAAGUUGCUUAUAACUGAGUGGCGGACGGGUGAGUAACGCGUGGGUAACCUGCCUUGUACUGGGGGAUAACAGCUGGAAACGGCUGGUAAUACCGCAUAAGCGUACAUAGUUGCAGGAAAUGGUGUGAAAAACUCCGGUGGUAUAGGAUGGGCAUGGGUCUGAUUCGCCAGUGGGUGUGAUAACGGCCCACCAAGGCGAGGAGAAGGAGCCGACCGGGGAGGGGGCCCGGCCACAUCGGGACUGGGACACGGCACAGACGCAUACGGGACGCAGCAGUGAGGAAUAAUGCAGCAUGGAGGAGAGGCUGAUGCAGCUACGCCGCGUGAAUGACGAAGUUGUUCGAGAUGUAAAGCUCUAUGAGCAACGAAUAUCGUGACGGUACCUGAUGAAGAAGCACCGGCUAAUUACGUG